rnacentral:rRNA from 1 species
CCUACGGGAGGCUGCAGUGAGGAAUAUUGGUCAAUGGGCGCGAGCCUGAACCAGCCAAGUCGCGUGAGGGAAGACGGUCCUAUGGAUUGUAAACCUCUUUUGUCGGGGAGCAAAAGACGCCACGCGUGGCGUUCCGAGAGUACCCGAAGACACAGCAUCGGCUAACUCCGUGCCAGCAGCCGCGGUAAUACGGAGGAUGCGAGCGUUCUCCGGAUUUAUUGGGUUUAAAGGGAGCGUAGACGGUGAUGCAAGUCUGGAGUGAAAGGCGGGGGCCCAACCCCCGGACUGCUCUGGAAACUGUGUAACUUGAGUGGAAGAGAAGUAUGCGGAAUGCGUGGUGUAGCGGUGAAAUGCAUAGAGAUCACGCAGAACCCCGAUUGCGAAGGCAGCAUGCCGGCUUCCGACUGACGCUGAAGCACGAAAGCGUGGGGAUCGAACAGGAUUAGAUACCCCUGUAGUC